rnacentral:lncRNA from 1 species
AAAAAUUUCAGAACACUGUAUUUUCUCAUUAAUUCUUCCUGCCAUCGUUACCCUUGGGAAUCCUAAAGUAUCUCCUUUUGCAUAUUGACUGCCAAAUAUUUACCUAAAUAUAAUGAACUCUUUCCAAAGCCCCAGUAUGAGAUUUCCAACUGCUUUCUCCCUGUCAAACUUAGCUAGCUAAAAACAAUUAAAUGUAUUACUUUUAUUCCCUUCUUAAAUCUGAUUCUUCUAGUGAGUUUAUAUUCUUCUUAUUGUUUUGUUUUCUUUUUUAUCUCUGUACCCCCACCCCCUAGAAUAGUGCCUGGCCUGGCAUGAGAAGGGGCACUAUAUACCCAGUGAACGGAUGAAUACUAUCACAAUUUGACUGUAGCUUUCACAACCUGGAAUCUUCUCUGACUCCAAUCAUCUCCUUACAAGUCUACAUCAUGGCUCUUCUAACUGCUAUAUUUGGCUGUUCAGGUGCUUCUUACCUAUCAACUAGAUUGUCACAAUAGCUUUCUUACAGUUAUCCUCAUCAUCAAUUUUUCCACUCUCCUAUCCAUUUUAUGCACCAUUCUCAUAUUAAUUUCCUUGAAGCAUGUAAUUCAUUCUAUCAUUUAUUCUACAAUCCUAUAAGGAGAAUGUAUUGUAUGCAAGCCCUGUGCUAGGUUCUGAAGAUAAGCACAAAUAAGGCACAGUCUCCACGCUUGAGCAGCUCGUGAUCCAGUGGGAGAGAGAGAGAUGUGUCCAGAGAUACAGAGCAGGGAGAGCAAUGCCAAAACAGAGGUGCACAAAGGAAGAAUGAUAGAUGUGACAGAUGCUGCGUCAGUUACGGAGUCACAGAAGAGAGGAAAUUUAGCCCAUAUCCUAACAGAGAAUUAGACGUUUUCCAGGAUCACCAUUAGAUGGAAGCAGGAACUAUUUAUCUUUUGAGUCAGGGGGAAAAAAGCAAAGAAUGCAUGCUAACCGAAGUUAGUUUAGAGGUGGGGGCUGGGGAAGAAGAACACCGAUGGCCAUUGUAUCCAAAGACCUCUGUCUUCCCUCUGAAGCGUGAGAAGGAGGAAGGACCAGUCACUGGGCUGCAUUAUCUUUCGACCAGAGGUGCUGCCAGCUGGUGAGCAUGCCUUCUACUUCCCUGCACCUGCUGGAAACC